rnacentral:rRNA from 1 species
UACGUAGGGUGCAAGCGUUAAUCGGAAUUACUGGGCGUAAAGCGUGCGCAGGCGGUUAUGCAAGACAGAUGUGAAAUCCCCGGGCUCAACCUGGGAACUGCAUUUGUGACUGCAUAGCUGGAGUGCGGCAGAGGGGGAUGGAAUUCCGCGUGUAGCAGUGGAAUGCGUAGAUAUGCGGAGGAACACCGAUGGCGAAGGCAAUCCCCUGGGCCUGCACUGACGCUCAUGCACGAAAGCGUGGGGAGCAAACAGG